UGUUGGCCAGGAUGGUCUUGAACUCCUGCUCUCAGGUGGGGUUGCUGAGAAUACAAAGGUGAAGGAAGAAGAAUGGCUGUCCUUCUUUCUAUUCAGAAAAGAUCCCAGCCAGCAAAAGGAAAUCAUCCAUGCUCCCAUUCAGUUUCU